rnacentral:tRNA from 2 species
GCAGGAGUAGCUUCAACCGGUAGAGCGCCGCCUUGGUAAGGCGGAGGUCAUGGGUUCAAGUCCCAUCUCCUGCUCCA